rnacentral:ncRNA from 1 species
CAAAGGCUUGGUCCUGACUUUAUUAUCAGUUUUAGCCAGAUUUACACAUGCAAGUAUCCGCACCCCUGUGAGAAUGUCCCACAGUUCCCCGCCCUGGAACAAGGAACUGGUAUCAGGCACAAACACGCAGCCCAUGACACCUUGCUUAGCCACACCCUCAAGGGAACUCAGCAGUGAUAAACAUUAAGCCAUAAGUGAAAACUUGACUUAAUUAAAGCUAAGAGGGCCGGUAAAACUCGUGCCAGCCACCGCGGUUAUACGAGAGGCCCAAAUUGAUACCCGUUGGCGUAAAGCGUGGUUAGGUUUAAACUUACACUAAAGCCAAAUAUCUUCAAGACUGUUAUACGUGCACGAAGACAAGAAGUUCAACUACGAAAGUGGCUUUAUUUAUUCUGAACCCACGAAAGCUAAGAUACAAACUGGGAUUAGAUACCCCACUAUGCCUAGCCCUAAACAUUGAUAGUGUUCUACACCCACUAUCCGCCAGGGAACUACAAGCAAUAGCUUAAAACCCAAAGGACUUGGCGGUGCUUUAGAUCCACCUAGAGGAGCCUGUUCUGGAACCGAUAACCCCCGUUCAACCUCACCCUUCCUUGUUCUUCCCGCCUAUAUACCGCCGUCGUCAGCUUACCCUGUGAAGGUUUAAUAGUGAGCAAAACUGGCACAGCCCAGGACGUCAGGUCGAGGUGUAGCGUAUGGAGGGGGAAGAAAUGGGCUACAUUCGCUACCACAGCGAACACGAAACGUGUAAUGAAACGUACAUCUGAAGGAGGAUUUAGCAGUAAGCAGGAAAUAGAGCGUCCCGCUGAAAUUGGCCCUGAAGCGCGCACACACCGCCCGUCACUCUCCCCAAAAACAACCACCAGUUAAUUAAAACCUAAUAAUACUAAAGGGGAGGCAAGUCGUAACAUGGUAAGUGUACCGGAAGGUGCACUUGGAAAAAU